GAUGAACGCUGGCGGCGUGCUUAACACAUGCAAGUCGAACGGUGAAGCUCAGCUUGCUGGGUGGAUCAGUGGCGAACGGGUGAGUAACACGUGAGCAACCUGCCCCUGACUCUGGGAUAAGCGCUGGAAACGGUGUCUAAUACUGGAUAUGUACCACGAUCGCAUGGUCUGUGGUUGGAAAGAUUUUUCGGUUGGGGAUGGGCUCGCGGCCUAUCAGCUUGUUGGUGAGGUAAUGGCUCACCAAGGCGUCGACGGGUAGCCGGCCUGAGAGGGUGACCGGCCACACUGGGACUGAGACACGGCCCAGACUCCUACGGGAGGCAGCAGUGGGGAAUAUUGCACAAUGGGCGCAAGCCUGAUGCAGCAACGCCGCGUGAGGGAUGACGGCCUUCGGGUUGUAAACUCCUUUCGCCAUUGACGAAGCCCUUUGGGGUGACGGUAGGUGGAGAAGAAGCACCGGCUAACUACGUGCCAGCAGCCGCCGUAACAC
rnacentral:rRNA from 1 species